AAUCAACGCUGGCGGCGUGCCUCAGACAUGCAAGUCGAACGCGAAAGUCCCCUUCGGGGGGACAAGUAGAGUGGCGCACGGGUGAGUAACACGUAGGUAAUCUACCUUUGGAUGGGGAAUAACAACCGGAAACGGUUGCUAAUACCGCAUAAUGCAGCGGCACCUAAUGGUGACAGUUGUUAAAGCGGGGGAUCGAAAGACCUCGCGUCUGAAGAGGAGCCUGCGGCGGAUUAGCUAGNGGUAAGGUAAUGGCUUACCAAGGCUACGAUCCGUAACCGGCCUGAGAGGGCGGUCGGUCACACUGACACUGACAUACGGGUCAGACUCCUACGGGAGGCAGCAGUCGGGAAUUUUGGGCAAUGGGCGAAAGCCUGACCCAGCAACGCCGCGUGAGUGAAGAAGGCCUUAGGGUUGUAAAGCUCUUUCAGCGGAGAAGAUAAUGACGGUAUCCG
rnacentral:rRNA from 1 species